UUUACUUAACUUUACUUCUUAGGGUUUCACAUUCUUGACAUAUAAGUUUACGCGACUAACUUCCUUUACCAGUUUACGGCUUCAUGACAUACGGAGAUUGUGGCGACCCCAAAUCUGGAUACUUGAAACCCGAACUCGGUUCUCCACGAUACCAUUUCUUUAAGCUGAAUAAUAAUAUAAUUCGAACUUAAUUUACAUACAUCAAAGUUUACUUUCCCAGGUACGUGACCUUCAAAUACAUUCCUUACAAUACCUGACAAUAGAUUCCAUUGUCUUACUAACUAUAACCAUUAACUCAUACUAAAUCUCAUUCGAACAACUUUUCUUUUCCCUUGUUCAUGCCUGAGUCUUCAGGUCGAUCGUACGUAACUGAAAAC
rnacentral:lncRNA from 1 species